AGUGUUGAGUUCAGUUCAUUCAAUUCAGUUCAGUCAGUUCUAUCCGUUAAAUUCAGUUCACUUCAUUUCAUAAAUUAACUGUCAUAUGUCUUAUCUGAUUCAUGCCCUAAGUUAAGUCCAUACAGAUUAAUCAAUACUGAAUUAUUGACAAGAAACGAAAAGCAUUAUGCAGAAGUCAUGACAUAGAAAGCUGAAAUUUCAUCAGUAGGUAUCGAUCUAUUCAUUCAUAUUGACAAACACAUUGAGCAAAAACAGAAAUUCCGGAACGAUCUCAAAAACAUAGGAAUCAUAACAAAAGGUCCUUAAACCAAAGUUUUAAAUAAAAUCCUUCAACAACUCACAAAAAAUAGAUAAUUUCCACAGCCUUAAAAAGUCAGAAUA
rnacentral:lncRNA from 1 species